CGUAGGGUGCAGGCGUUAAUCGGAAUUACUGGGCGUAAAGCGUGCGCAGGCGGUUUGCUAAGAGAGAUGUGAAAUCCCCGGGCUUAACCUGGGAACUGCGUUUCUAACUGGCAGGCUUGAGUGUGGCAGAGGGGGUGGAAUUCCACGUGUAGCAGUGAAAUGCGUAGAGAUGUGGAGGAACACCGAUGGCGAAGGCAGCCCCCUGGGCUAACACUGACGCUCAUGCACGAAAGCGUGGGGAGCAAACAGGAUUAGAUACCCUGGUAGUCCACGCCCUAAACUAUGUCAACUGGUUGUCGGGGAAGCAAUUCCUUGGUAACGAAGCUAACGCGUGAAGUUGACCGCCUGGGGAGUACGGCCGCAAAGGUUA
rnacentral:rRNA from 1 species